UGGGGUGGUGUGAGGCAGUAGUGUGGGGUGGUGUGAGGCGGUAGUGUGGGGUGGUGUGAGGCAGUAGUGUGGGGUGGUGUGAGGCGGUAGUGUGGGGUGGUGUGAGGCGGUAGUGUGGGGUGGUGUGAGGCGGUAGUGUGGGGUGGUGUGAGGCGGUAGUGUGGGGUGGUGUGAGGCGGUAGUGUCCCAGAUGUUCACGGGAAAAGUGUCGAGACAGCGGCGAGAUGACUGAAAUGCUGACUCGGGACGCCUGCUGGAGGCCCUCAACUCCUAGGAAAGCCUUGCCAAAUGUGUGUUUCCUUAGGUUCAAAGUACAGAGGAAGGGUCACAAAACUACCCCUGGAAAUGCCCACAACUCCUAGGAAAGCCUUGCCAAAUAUGUGUUUCCUUAGGUUCACGGUACAGAGGAAGGGUCACAAAACUACCCCUGGAAAUGCCCACAACUCCUAGGAAAGCCUUGCCAAAUGUGUGUUUCCUUAGGUUCACGGUACAGAGGAAGGGUCACAAAACUACCCCUGGAAAUGCCCACAACUCCUAGGAAAGCCUUGCCAAAUAUGUGUUUCCUUAGGUUCACGGUACAGAGGAAGGGUCACACUACCACCAGGGCCACAAAACUACCCCUGGAAAUGCCCACAACCCCUAGGAAAGCCUUGCCAAAUGUGUGUUUCCUUAGGUUCAAAGUACAGAGGAAGGGUCACACUACCACCAGGGCCACAAAACUACCCCUGGAAAUGCCCACAACCCCUAGGAAAGCCUUGCCAAAUAUGUGUUUCCUUAGGUUCACGGUACAGAGGAAGGGUCACACUACCACCAGGGUCACAAAACUACCCCUGGAAAUGCCCACAACUCCUAGGAAAGCCUUGUCAAGUGUGUGUUUCCUUAGGUUCACGGUACAGAGGAAGGGUCACAAAACUACCCCUGGAAAUGCCCACAACUCCUAGGAAAGCCUUGCCAAAUAUGUGUUUCCUUAGGUUCAUGGUACAGAGGAAGGGUCACACUACCACCAGGGUCACAAAACUACCCCUGGAAAUGCCCACAACUCCUAGGAAAGCCUUGCCAAAUGUGUGUUUCCUUAGGUUCACGGUACAGAGGAAGGGUCACAAAACUACCCCUGGAAAUGCCCACAACUCCUAGGAAAGCCUUGCCAAAUAUGUGUUUCCUUAGGUUCACGGUACAGAGGAAGGGUCACAAAACUACCCCUGGAAAUGCCCACAACUCCUAGGAAAGCCUUGCCAAAUGUGUGUUUCCUUAGGUUCACGGUACAGAGGAAGGGUCACACUACCACCAGGGUCACAAAACUACCCCUGGAAAUGCCCACAACUCCUAGGAAAGCCUUGUCAAGUGUGUGUUUCCUUAGGUUCACGGUACAGAGGAAGGGUCACAAAACUACCCCUGGAAAUGCCCACAACUCCUAGGAAAGCCUUGCCAAAUAUGUGUUUCCUUAGGUUCACGGUACAGAGGAAGGGUCACACUACCACCAGGGUCACAAAACUACCCCUGGAAAUGCCCACAACUCCUAGGAAAGCCUUGUCAAGUGUGUGUUUCCUUAGGUUCACGGUACAGAGGAAGGGUCACAAAACUACCCCUGGAAAUGCCCACAACUCCUAGGAAAGCCUUGCCAAAUAUGUGUUUCCUUAGGUUCAUGGUACAGAGGAAGGGUCACACUACCACCAGGGUCACAAAACUACCCCUGGAAAUGCCCACAACUCCUAGGAAAGCCUUGCCAAAUGUGUGUUUCCUUAGGUUCACGGUACAGAGGAAGGGUCACAAAACUACCCCUGGAAAUGCCCACAACUCCUAGGAAAGCCUUGCCAAAUAUGUGUUUCCUUAGGUUCACGGUACAGAGGAAGGGUCACACUACCACCAGGGUCACAAAACUACCCCUGGAAAUGCCCACAACUCCUAGGAAAGCCUUGCCAAAUAUGUGUUUCCUUAGGUUCACGGUACAGAGGAAGGGUCACAAAACUACCCCUGGAAAUGCCCACAACUCCUAGGAAAGCCUUGCCAAAUGUGUGUUUCCUUAGGUUCACGGUACAGAGGAAGGGUCACAAAACUACCCCUGGAAAUGCCCACAACUCCUAGGAAAGCCUUGCCAAAUUAUGCUUACAUCUCAAAAUUAUCAAAUAAUCUAUGUUUCUUUAUGUGCACCAUUUAAUUCUGCAUGUUUUUAUAUAUAAUACAUGAUGAUUAUAUUGAGUUUAUGGCUGAAAAAACAGACACAGACGGGCUAGGCAUGGGUCAUAUAGGAUGACUGGCAGGAACCAACACUAUGAGCCACAUAUUUGUAACAGGUUCACAGCAUGGUGUGGUGAAUGCUUAUGUUGCCUUCCCAUGACUGAGCCUUGGGGAGCUUGGCCAUUUCCAGGGGGAGUUUUAUGGCCCCUCUGCCCGGGCUGCCU